rnacentral:rRNA from 1 species
GAAGAGAGAGUUAAAGAGCACGUGAAAUCGGUAAGGUGGAAACGGAUAGAGUUGACGUAUAUGGCUUGUAUUCAAUCGUUGGAUUAUGCGUAACAAUGGGUUGUUUUGUGUUGGCCGGCGUAACAUACAUUGUUUUCGGAUGAUGUUUAUGUUGGGCUGGUUCGGCGCGCAGUCCAUUGGUGUUUAUGUUUUUCAGCGGUGCAUUUACGAGUCAAUGUGCGCUGGGACAUGCGCGUUUCGGUUGUCGAAGGAGUUUGGCGCAAGAGGUUACUUUUUUUUAGUAUUUUAAAUUAAUUUUUAAGAUACAAAGGGUAAAACCGUGCGCCUUUUCGUAGGCGAUUCGUCGUGCAUGUAGUACUAAGUUUUUUGGUUUUUAAAGGAUGGCAUUUUAUCAUGAAUGCGAACGUUUAAAUUUAAUUGUAUUUGUUGGUUAUGCGAGUCGCAUGCGACGCGUAUAAUUAAAUUUUUUAAAUAAAUACGAUUAUUUAAACGUUUCCCACUUUCCUUUAUCCCGGUGUAAAAGUCAAUCAUCUAUCCGACCCGUCUUGAAACACGGACCAAGGAGUUUAACGUAUACGCGAGUCAUUGGGUGUUGAAAACCUAAAGGCGUAAUGAAAGUGAAAUGUAUUCAUUGAAAUACGAAUAUGCGAUCCCAUAAAUUUCGAUUUAAGGGCGCAGCAUAGCCCCGUUUUUGUCGCAUGCGAUGGAGCGGAGGAAGAGCGUAUGCGUUGAGACCCGAAAGAUGGUGAACUAUGCCUGAGCAGGACGAAGCCAGAGGAAACUCUGGUGGAAGUCCGAAUCGGUUCUGACGUGCAAAUCGAUCGUCUGACUUGGGUAUAGGGGCGAAAGACUAAUCGAACUAUC